AUCUAUAGUCGGCACGUCUGGUAGCAUUUCUGGCUGCUGUUGACCUUGUUUUUGGAGUAAAACACGGUGGAAGCUGAAUUAGUGAGGAUGACUCCUGCUCCUGUCAUCUCUAAGCUCCUCACACAUCUUUACCUGCACAUGAGGAAAAUCACUCCUGUAGAAUGCAGAUGUUCAGAGGGAGAUGAUGCCACAUCUGGUCCAGCUGAUGGAAGGUCUUGAAGUUCUCUGACUGGCCUUGACUGAAGAUGGUCGUCUCACUGGAUUUAAGGUUCAGAUGCUCAGUAACAAACUCCACCAAUGUGCCAACAGGGAAGCUUUAGGUUUAUUAAAUGUUGCUAUGAAGGUAUCGCUGUUUUUCUUUGUGAAUGCAAUGUGCUCCAACUGAAACUUGAAUUAGAAGUUAGAAGUAAAUCCUUCCAUCUGAAAGGAUUUAGUUGCAUUAAUAACCUCAUAACAUUCUAAUUUUUAUUCCAGUCUUGGUUGAAAAUAGAAUCUCUGUAUUGAUUCAGGUAAAAACUGAACUUCACAGCAUGUUGGAGCAAAACAACCAGAUGAAAACUGUGAUGGUGUUGGAUUGUCAGACCGUAAUGUUGCAGCUCAAAGCAGCUUUUCUAUCUCAGUUCAUUCUGACAUUCAGCUAUGAAUCAACACAGCAGAUGGUGAUCCAUGCUGUGGAAGUCUCACAUCUCCUGAUUUAAUGGAGCUGCUUUGCACUUUUUACACUGUUUAUUCACCAACACUUUAUUUAAUAAAAGUCCCAUCUAGUUUUUAUGAGGAAUGUGAUGUUUUAAUCUCUCUGUGAAUAACUGCAGUCUAAUGCAACAGCUGGAGUUGUAACAUCUGUCCUGAUAUUGAUCAUGAAGGUAUUGAUCAUAAUGAUCAAAUGAGUUUGUUUUUACUGCCAGCUACCAUUCAGUCUAAAAUAUUAAGAAUAAAUAAAUAUGCAUAAUGUGGAAAUAAACAGAUUUUAUUUUUAUUUAUUCCUACAGCUGCUGCAUUUAAAGUUCUAGAAUGUGGAGGAAUUUAGUCUCACAAUCACAGACAAUAAAUAUUAUCUGAAAGUCGGGUUAUUGUUGUUUAUCAGCACAAUACAAAAAGAUUAAUGUUAGAAAUAUUCCAGUUAAGACUUUAGAAUAUCAAGAUUUAUGUAAAUUUAUCUCAGUGAUAUAAAUGUUCAGGUUAAGAUUGUACAGUGAUAUUUAUUAUGUAAGUUUAGCUGAUUAAAGUUUGACUCUGCACUACAAUAUUAUUUAAAUUGACAUCAUUAUUAUAAUAUUUAGGGUCAGACCCUACAGUAUUGGUAUUAAGAAAUCAAAUAUUCUUUAAACUCUAAAUACACAGAACUAAUUUGGAUAUAUUUAAGUGAAACUACAAUAUUAUUUGACACAAAUCUAUCUAAAUCAAAUUUUAAUAAUUUUCACACCAAACAUUUACUGGACUGAUUUAAAUAUUAAAAUCACUCCUUUCUAAUCCUCUGCUGUACGUUCAAACCUGAGGCCUUAAAUAGAAACACACAAGUAUCUGUUUGAAGGAACGUCUGAAGAGUCCUGGUUCCAGAACAUGAUGAUAGAAUUAUAGACGAACUUUAACAAAAGCUGCCUGAGAGUUUACAGGUUUUUAAUGUUAGAUUUCUUCAGUAAUUUAAUGAGUUAUCAGCAAAAAUCAAGUGUUCAUUUGAUGAACUUCAUUUCCUAAAACAUCCAGAAUUGGAGCUCAUAUCUUUGGCAGCUGUAAAGUUUCUGCUCCUUCAAAGUUCACAACACAAUGAAUGAAUUCCUAAAACACUCUCAAUGCUGGAGAGCGUUUGUGAUGCUGAAGCAGUGACCAGUUUUUCUGUUUCUUCUCUGGAGAUGCACAAUGAGGGACGUCUGCAGAGACUGAGAAAGAGUCUCACCACAUCCUGACAUGAGGAAAAAGACUUUAUUGAAGACUACAAUGAGAAAAACUAUCAGACAGCAGACGGCUGCAUUCAAGGUGAGCUCUGAACAUUUGAUCUGGAACAGGAAUUCAAUAACAGCAGCAUGAGCUUCAUUUCAGUCUGUAGCUGCUGAAUUCAUGGAUGAAUCAUCUGGCACUAGAGAAGAAGACCAUCAAACAUCCACGUCAGCUGAUGGAGGUCCAAGAGUCUCACCAAACAACCAACCUACAGAGUGAAGACCUCAAAUCUGAUUGGACGGCCUCCUAUUCAGCCACGUGUGAACAAAUGCCUCUAAGCUGAUUUGUUUUCUAAAAUAAAUCUAGUUUGUGUCCUAA